rnacentral:misc_RNA from 1 species
UCUACAAAAAAAAGAUUAGGAUUUGGAUUUCUAAUAAUUCAGUUGAUUAUUAUAAUUUUUUUUUCUUGUCUUGUUGUCGCCAUAUUAUCUGUGAUAUAUUUUUUUAACCUCUAUUGUAUGAUAACCAAACAUGUACAUGUAUGGGGUGGGGAUAGACAAUCACGAAGAACAGAUUUUUCAGGAAAGCAGUAACGUUUGUAAAAUGAUUUUUUUUAAAAAUCAAAUUCGCAUCUUAUUCAUAACGAUGUUUCAUCCUGUAUUGUAUUACAAAACAAGCUUGGGCUGUUAUUAAAGCCAUUAUUUUUUCCCCUCAAAGUAAUGUUUUGCCUUUCUGUGAAUGCGUUUACUGGGGGUUUUAAGGGGGUGUGGAAGGGGGGUUAGGGGGAUGGGGGUAGUUUUUUGUUUUCUUUUUCGCAAAAUGAUCUAAAAUAAAAAAAAAAUCUUUAAUAAAUAUAUAUUUAUAUAUUUAAAUUGGGUUAUGUUUCUUAUGUUGAAGAAACUUAAUACACAUUCAUUGAUAUAUCGGAGUGUGUGCAGGAGAUAAACCAAUAAAAUAUCAAAAUUAUGCUGCUUUGUUUAGGUUUUAAUUUUUUAAAAUAAAAAUGUGACUUGGAAUUUGG